AUUACCCAGCAAGCUAAACACACAGAGCUGAACUAAAAUUGACUUCUCUUUGGGCAGAGAAACAAAGCAGGUCAGGAGUAAUUGUGCGGCAUGAACACAAAUACAAACAGAAAAUGAAUGCCAUGGAGGAGCACUGAAAACAAAUAAGAGUAAACAUUCUAAGCCUACAGACCAAUCAGCUCCUCCCACUGUCUCUUUGUGGAGGCUGUAGUAGCACCCAAAUCUCCAAGCACAGGAGACAAGGGAAGGAAGUGAACGUGGCCUCCAAACCUCCAAGCACAAGAGACAAGGGAGGGAAGUGAACGUGGCCUUCAAAUCUCAACAACUGUGGUACCCUGACUUCCCGUAACGAUUACUGACUAGCUGCUGUUUGGCUUCAAGACAACAAAAGCUCCUUCAAGGUUUAAACUCAGGAGAUCACCAAAAAUCAAAGCUCCUUAGUUGUUUUUUAAAUUCUAAAGUGGGAAUUUUGGAAUUUAAUUUACCCUAUUUACUCGAAUGUAACUUUUGACUUCUCUCUACUGAAAUGCACAAAAACAAACAAAAUUUAUGUGUGGAUACAGAGACAGGAGACUGGCAGUGCCAUUUUUGGCUAUUUAGUAAAACAUCUUGUAUUGAUAGAGCUUGCAUUGAUAUUUUCUCACAUGAUUAAUUUGGAUGUUUAAGCGUUCACAGUUUCAUUUAAUAAACAUAUCCCCCCUGACAAAUUGAUAAUUCAGCCUUCAAUUAUGCAGAAUUCAGUAAGUCUUAUCUGUGUAAUCCAUCAGUAUUUGAUUUACAAACAGAAAAUUUCUUAAUCCAUUUGCCCUUGUUUGAACUGGGUUUGAUAACUUAGUUAUGACUAUCUUCUUCACUUUGUGGCACACAUCACAUAGUUAUUCUUGGAUAGAUACAGUCACUGACGCAACCAUGAACCGCUAAUUACAAGCUGGUGACAUUCUGCUUGUCUAUGCAGCUUUGAAGUUCUAAGGCUGUUUUUCUCUUGUGCGCUUGCUCAGUUUCAUUCUCUUCUCCUCAUGCCACCCACCCCCAAUCACUUACUCCCUCUUUCCUCUUUUCACUUUAAAGCCUUUCUGGAUUCACUCUAGGACUAUCUGGAGAAAGAGGCAAGAAUGAUCAGAUUCUGUAACUUACUGCUUUUCCUUUCCUUCUGUACUAUCCCUGCACACAGAUCUCCAGUUUGAAAGUACAGUAAUAAGAUCCUCACCCAGCCCCACCCGCAGGAAUGCAUCAACAGCUGGCCAAACAUAAUCCAACACACAGAGCUGCCUUUGUAGAAUUAGUAACAAACAGUGGAAGGGCCAGACAGGCGUCCCAGAAGAGCUCCCCAUGACAACUGGGAAAGCUCCUCACCCCCAGAGUUGAGCUGAUUCCACUGAGCUGGGGUUGGAGAACCCCAGCUCUCACAUCUGAAUCUACAACAAGCCUCAAGUGCCUGCCCUCAACCUCACUAGAAGCUAUUCGGAGGGCAUUCGGCUCUCCAUAACAGCAAGUUAGAAGCAAGCAUUCUCCAUACCGACAACAGCCAUACUCUGCCUCAUGGCACAUGCCUUUUGAAAUGCAACACUGCAAAUCUCCAAAUCACAUGAACAGCAUUUACACCUGUACCUAACCAUCUUAGCUGUGAGCUGGUAGGACCACCUCUUGUCCUUAGAAAAUAAUUUCUUUUUGCAAAUUAUAGGCUGAUCCCGGCAUUCUGAAACAUGUAAAUAUAACACCGUAUUCAUCGCCACUGAGCAUUUAGCAUCUGAAGCCUGUGGUAGCCAGCUGGUCUCAAAGUCAUCUGGGAUACAUUUAUUUUGAUUAAAUUGAUCAGAUUUCUAUUUACAGGAUAGAAUUUUUUGCCAUUACUGAAUACAGCUGUGUUUAUAGGGAUUUGUAGAAGAAGAAAACAAAACCCCACAAUCGGUCCUAGCAAAGCACAGAGCAUUCAGAACUGGAAGGAGUUAAAACAGAGGGGGCUUGCUUUCACAGUAGAAAGAAAAUUCUGCAUGCAGCUGCUUUGGCCAUGCUGUCUCACUAGUCAGGAAAUGGGUGUUGAACCGGAGCUGAAAACACAAGCUGCAAUCAAGCCCGAUCCAGCAAAGUGACAGACUUCCUGUGUAAAAUGGUCAGAAACCUUUUUUCAUGUCUCUACAUGCAUGCACAUGCAUUUAAAUCCAUGCUGCGAGGCUGCGAUUUUCUCUGGGGACACUGGUACAGUCACCUAGCCCAUCAGUUCCUUCGUUGACAGCGCCGGGGACAUCCAGACUACAAUUUACAGUUCCUCUAUCCAUGUGCUGGGUUAGAAAUUAUGCCAUCCUCCCUAGAAUGAGAAUGCACAGCAAGCGGCAGACAAUCACCCGGCAUUCGGCAUCUCUCUCUUUCCACGCGCUCCCUCACUCCGCCUUUCUCCAGCUCUGCCUUCACAAGCAGAUACAUCAGAUACCUUGUUUAUCCAUCUUCAGCUCCACUCUGAGGGCGCAGACGCACGAUUCCGGGAUCGGGUGCACCACGGCGAAGCCCAGGCGGGAGACGGCAGGAGCGGCUCAGAUGAGGAAACUGAAACCCCCCAGAGAUGAAGCAACAUCCUCAAGAUCAAAAAGGUAACAAACGAUUGAGGCAGGAUUCAGAUAUUGUUCUACAUGACGGGAAAGGCUGUGCUCUUGGAAUUACAGUCAUAGUACAACAGAUCAAGUUCAAAGCAUCAUCUAAGUCAAGAAAAAACACUAAAGAGGUUUGGAGAGACAAACAGGGUCAACUCCAGGCAUCUGGGUCAGCAGAAAAGGCACCAUUGAGCAGCACUGAGACUGUAGGAUCACGGCUCAGAGGCUGCUUCCUCUUUGGUUCUGGGCAUCAGCCUCAGGUCCACUCAAAGUGAAUGGCCCCUCUGACUGGAAUCUGAGGUGCCUGGGUCAUCUCAUCUCACAGAGCCAAACAAAUACAAUUAGCUGUUGCAAAGCCUUUUGGGAAUUAUUCCCAGUGUAAAUAAACACAUAACCAUAUAGCAAGAGCCUUGAUAAAGUCCAAAAACAAGCGAACUUGGAGUAUCUAAGAGAAAAGACCAGAAUGUAAAUGAGAAACCAAAUAAACUGGGGCAAACUAUGGGAUAGGGCCCUGUCUGUGAUGGCCUGCAUAUGAUGAGCCAUAGAAAAAGGAUGGUGAAUUCUGGAUAAUAAGAAAUGUCAAUGAGAUGGAAGAACCACCUGUUUUAUGUAAAGCUCCAAAUAACCAGAUCACACUGGACAGCCACUCAAAUAAUGCCUUCAUAAUACAGAGUAUUAUUGAGAAUAACUCAAUUCACAGAGAGCUUAAGGCAGCCAAUAUUUGAUAGCCUGUCAGAAAAAAACAGAACAGUAAUUACAGAAAAGAAUCAUAUCCUCAGAAAAACAAAAAUUAAUCAAACUGAGUUUGUAAAGUCUAUCUUACAGACACAUUGUCUGGACUGGUCCUCUCAAAAAUACUGGUUUUUUUAUGCCAAUUUGUUUAGUUAAUGAUUUUUGUCUUAUUACUUCAAAACUGGAAAUAUCCUAUGACUCAUAACCUCUUACAACCUUUCUACUUUCUUAAAGAAUCUCAAGUUUAUAAUCACAGGGGAUCGGAUUUUUUUUUCAAAACUUAAACGAUGAUGUAACUAUUUCUGUGUCUAUUGUAGAAAAAUCAACCUUAUUACAACUGCAACAAUGGCAUUAAGAAAUAUGAGUAAUUCCAAUCAACUUGAGAUAAUGUCUAAUCAAACACAAAUACAACUGAUAAAUUUCAUUAAAUAGCAUGGAGAUUAAAUUAAAACACUAUUAUGUAAUAAAAACCUUUAGUGGUACUAAAAUUUUAGAAUAGUUCAGAUAUACAGAAAAAUUUCAAAGAUAUACAGAGUUCCCAUUUUUUUCCUAUUAUUAACCUCUCAUAUUUGUCACAGCUAAUGAAUAUUCAAUACAGUAUUAUUAACUAAAGCCCAUACAUUUAUUCAGAUUUCCUUAGUUUUUAGCUAACAUUCUUUUUCUUUGUUCCAGGAUCCCAUCCGGGCCACCACAUUGAAUUUAUUUGUCAGUCAUUUUAGGUACCGCUUGGCUGUGAGUUUCUCAGACUUUCCUUGUUUUUGGUGACCCUGACAGUUUGAGGGAGUACUAGUCAGUUAUUUCUGUAGAAUGCCCUAAAUUUGAGUUUGGCUGGUGUUUUUCUUAGGGUUUGACUGGGGUUAUGGGUUUUGGGGAGGAAGACCACAGAGGUGAAGUACCAUUCUCCCCAAAUUAAAUUAAAGGCACAUACCAUCAGCAUGCCUUAUACUACUGAUGUGAACUCUGAUUGCCUGGCUGUGGUAGUGUUUGUCAUGUUUCUCCACUGUAAAGUUACUCUUCUCAUCACCCAUUUUUCUGUACUGUACUCUUUGGAAGAAAGUCACUAUAUGCAUCCCACAUUUAAGGAGUGGGAAGUUAUGCUCCACCCAUUUGUAAGCAGAAAAUCUACAUAAAUUGUUUGGCAUUCUUCUGCAUGGGAAAAUUAUCUCAUUCUCCCAUUUAUUUAUUUGAUUUUUUUUAUAUCAGUAUGGACUCAUGGGUAUUUCUUUUAUACUUUGGGUUACAAUCCAAUACUAACAUAAUAAAGAAAUUUUUAAUGGAGAU